GUGAGGAAUAUUGCGCAAUGGAGGCAACUCUGACGCAGCCAUGCCGCGUGCAGGAAGAAGGCGCUACGCGUUGUAAACUGCUUUUAACCGGGAAGAAACCCCAGGACGUGUCCUGGGUUGACGGUACCGGAGGAAUAAGCACCGGCUAACUUCGUGCCAGCAGCCGCGGUAAUACGAAGGGUGCAAGCGUUAUCCGGAUUCAUUGGGUUUAAAGGGUGCGUAGGCGGAGCGUUAAGUCAGUGGUGAAAUCCUGAAGCUUAACUGUAGACUUGCCAUUGAUACUGGCGCUCUUGAGUGCGCUUGAAGUGGGCGGAAUGUGCCGUGUAGCGGUGAAAUGCUUAGAUAUGGCACAGAACACCAAUUGCGAAGGCAGCUCACUAAGGCGAUACUGACGCUGAGGCACGAAAGCGUGGGGAUCGAACAGGAUUAGAAACCCUGGUAGUCC
rnacentral:rRNA from 1 species